rnacentral:rRNA from 1 species
AUGCAGGGCUUGGCCCUUGCGAUUCAACAUUCUCAUCUCCCGGUGGUGGUGCAAAUGGACUCCUCGGAAGCGCUAUCAUGCUUGACGAAUGGUGCACUUCUUCGCUCAACAUAUGGACAGAUUGUCUUGGAGAUCAAGGACAGCAGGGAGUUUUUUCCUCAAAAGAUCACUAGAUUUCAGAAUAGAGUUGCCGAUCAACUGGCUAAGUAUAGCCGCACUGAGCGUGCCACUGUUGUUUGGCUAGGCUCGGUUCUACCUUGUAUUGAGGACUUGUGGCCUCUUGACUAUAACUCUAUACUCAUUAAAUAA